rnacentral:rRNA from 1 species
AUACGGAGGGUGCAAGCGUUACGCGGAAUCACUGGGCGUAAUGCGCGCGCAGGCGGUCUUUUAAGUUGGAUGUGAAAGCCUACGGCUCAACCGUAGAACUGCAUCCAAAACUAUUAGACUAGAGUGUGAGAGAGGAAGAUGGAAUUAGUUGUGUAGGGGUAAAAUCCGUAGAGAUAACUAGGAAUACCAAAAGCGAAGGCAAUCUUCUGGAACACUACUGACGCUGAGGCGCGAAAGCGUGGGGAGCAAACAGAAUUAGAAACCCUAGUAGUCC